CCUACGGGAGGCAGCAGUGGGGAAUAUUGCGCAAUGGGCGAAAGCCUGACGCAGCGACGCCGCGUGAGGGAUGAAGGUCUUCGGAUCGUAAACCUCUGUCAGCAGGGAAGAACGGUCACUGUGCUAAUCAGCAGUGAAUUGACGGUACCUGCAAAGGAAGCACCGGCUAACUCCGUGCCAGCAGCAGCGGUAAUACGGAGGGUGCGAGCGUUAAUCGGAAUUACUGGGCGUAAAGCGAUCGUAGGCGGUAUGUCAAGUCAAGGGUGAAAUCCCCGCGCUCAACGUGGGAACUGCAUUUGAUACUGGCAAACUGGAGUGUGUGAGAGGAUAGUGGAAUUCGAGGUGUAGGAGUGAAAUGCGUAGAUAUCUGGAGGAACAUCAGUGGCGAAGGCGACUAUCUGGCACAUAACUGACGCUGAGGAGCGAAAGCGUGGGUAGCAAACAGGAUUAGAUACCCGAGUAGUC
rnacentral:rRNA from 1 species